CUCUAUUAUAUCAACCUACUAUUGUAUUUAGUGUGAUCUUGUUCUCGUCCUGAAUAUGCAUGAAAUAUUUGCCACUGGACGCUAAGCAACCAUCAAUCAAUCAAUAGAAUGUGAAUAGGGCUAAGUCAAACAUGAAACAAUGAAAUGUUAAAAAGAAAUAGUUUAUGGCUUGAAAUAAAUUAAUUUCACCUUAUUUAACCUUAAUUGAAGACGUAAGCAUGAAUUGAAGAUGCACAAAUAAUUCUCCGCUCGGAUAGGUUUGAGCGUGUCUGUUAUAUGACUUGAAGUGUCGAAGCGCAACAGCCUAACCCUUACACC
rnacentral:lncRNA from 1 species